rnacentral:rRNA from 1 species
AUACGGAGGGUGCAAGCGUUAUCCGGAAUCAUAGGGUUUAAAGGGUCCGCAGGCGGAUUAAUAAGUCAGUGGUGAAAUCCUCUGGCUCAACGAGAGAACUGCCAUUGAAACUGUUAGUCUUGAAUUCGGUCGAAGUAGGCGGAAUGUGUCAUGUAGCGGUGAAAUGCAUAGAUAUGACACAGAACACCGAUAGCGAAGGCAGCUUACUAGACCUGGAUUGACGCUCAUGGACGAAAGCGUGGGGAGCGAACAGGAUUAGAAACCCUUGUAGUCC